rnacentral:rRNA from 1 species
AUGGCUCAGAACGAACGCUGGCGGCGUGGAUAAGACAUGCAAGUCGUGCGACAGACCAGGAAUUGAUUACUUCGGUUUGAUUUUCCUGACGAUGAGCGGCGAACGGGUGCGUAACACGUGAGAAACCUGCCUUGAAGUUCGGGAUAGCUCGGCGAAAGUCGAAUUAAUACCGGAUGUGGCCUAGGGAUAGCAUUUUCCCUUGGUUAAAGCUCGGUCACAGAGCGCUUUUAGAUGGUCUCGCGGUCUAUCAGCUUGUUGGUGAGGUAACGGCUCACCAAGGCUACGACGGAUAACUGAUCUGAGAGGAUGAUCAGUCACACUGGAACUGAGACACGGUCCAGACACCUACGGGUGGCAGCAGUCGAGAAUCAUUCACAAUGGGCGCAAGCCUGAUGGUGCGACGCCGCGUGGGGGAUGAAGGGCUUCGGUCUGUAAACCCCUGUCAUCUGUGAGUAAGGUCUCGUAUAAAAGCUACGAGGAUUGAUAUUAGCAGAAGAGGAAGGGACGGCUAACUCUGUGCCAGCAGCCGCGGUAAUACAGAGGUCCCAAGCGUUGUUCGGAUUUACUGGGCGUAAAGGGUGCGUAGGCGGUUAGAAAAGUUUGGUGUGAAAUCUUCGGGCUCAACCCGGAAACUGCACUGAAAACUAUUUAACUAGAGGAUCGGAGAGGAGAUUGGAAUUCUCAGUGUAGCAGUGAAAUGCGUAGAUAUUGAGAGGAACACCAGUUGCGAAGGCGGAUCUCUGGACGAUUCCUGACGCUGAGGCACGAAAGCUGGGGGAGCGAAGAGGAUUAGAUACCCUCGUAGUCCCAGCCGUAAACGGUGCGCACUUGCUGUGGGCGGAUUCGACCCCGUCCGUGGCGAAGCUAACGCGUUAAGUGCGCCGCCUGGGGAGUACGGUCGCAAGAUUAAAACUCAAAGAAAUUGACGGGGGCCUGCACAAGCGGUGGAGUAUGUGGCUUAAUUCGAU